rnacentral:rRNA from 1 species
AACGAACGCUGGCGGCAUGCCUAACACAUGCAAGUCGAACGAGACCUUCGGGUCUAGUGGCGCACGGGUGCGUAACGCGUGGGAACCUGCCCUUAGGUUCGGAAUAACUCCCCGAAAGGGGUGCUAAUACCGGAUAAUGUCUUCGGACCAAAGAUUUAUCGCCUUUGGAUGGGCCCGCGUUGGAUUAGCUAGUUGGUAGGGUAAAAGCCUACCAAGGCGACGAUCCAUAGCUGGUCUGAGAGGAUGAUCAGCCACACUGGGACUGAGACACGGCCCAGACUCCUACGGGAGGCAGCAGUGGGGAAUAUUGGACAAUGGGCUAAAGCCUGAUCCAGCAAUGCCGCGUGAGUGAUGAAGGCCUUAGGGUUGUAAAGCUCUUUUACCCGGGAUGAUAAUGACAGUACCGGGAGAAUAAGCUCCGACUAACUCCGUG